rnacentral:rRNA from 1 species
GUCGGCGUGCCUAAUACAUGCAAGUAGAACGCUGAAGAGAGGAGCUUGCUCUUCUUGGAUGAGUUGCGAACGGGUGAGUAACGCGUAGGUAACCUGCCUUGUAGCGGGGGAUAACCAUUGGAAACGAUAGCUAAUACCGCAUAACAAUGGAUGACACAUGUCAUUUAUUUGAAAGGGGCAAAUGCUCCACUACAAGAUGGACCUGCGUUGUAUUAGCUAGUAGGUGAGGUAACGGCUCACCUAGGCGACGAUACAUAGCCGACCUGAGAGGGUGAUCGGCCACACUGGGACUGAGACACGGCCCAGACUCCUACGGGAGGCAGCAGUAGGGAAUCUUCGGCAAUGGGGGCAACCCUGACCGAGCAACGCCGCGUGAGUGAAGAAGGUUUUCGGAUCGUAAAGCUCUGUUGUAAGUCAAGAACGAGUGUGAGAGUGGAAAGUUCACACUGUGACGGUAGCUUACCAGAAAGGGACGGCUAACUACGUGCCAGCAGCCGCGGUAAUACGUAGGUCCCGAGCGUUGUCCGGAUUUAUUGGGCGUAAAGCGAGCGCAGGCGGUUUGAUAAGUCUGAAGUUAAAGGCUGUGGCUCAACCAUAGUUCGCUUUGGAAACUGUCAAACUUGAGUGCAGAAGGGGAGAGUGGAAUUCCAUGUGUAGCGGUGAAAUGCGUAGAUAUAUGGAGGAACACCGGUGGCGAAAGCGGCUCUCUGGUCUGUAACUGACGCUGAGGCUCGAAAGCGUGGGGAGCGAACAGGAUUAGAUACCCUGGUAGUCCACGCCGUAAACGAUGAGUGCUAGGUGUUGGAUCCUUUCCGGGAUUCAGUGCCGCAGCUAACGCAUUAAGCACUCCGCCUGGGGAGUACGACCGCAAGGUUGAAACUCAAAGGAAUUGACGGGGGCCCGCACAAGCGGUGGAGCAUGUGGUUUAAUUCGAAGCAACGCGAAGAACCUUACCAGGUCUUGACAUCCCGAUGCUAUUUCUAGAGAUAGAAAGUUACUUCGGUACAUCGGUGACAGGUGGUGCAUGGUUGUCGUCAGCUCGUGUCGUGAGAUGUUGGGUUAAGUCCCGCAACGAGCGCAACCCCUAUUGUUAGUUGCCAUCAUUCAGUUGGGCACUCUAGCGAGACUGCCGGUAAUAAACCGGAGGAAGGUGGGGAUGACGUCAAAUCAUCAUGCCCCUUAUGACCUGGGCUACACACGUGCUACAAUGGUUGGUACAACGAGUUGCGAGUCGGUGACGGCAAGCUAAUCUCUUAAAGCCAAUCUCAGUUCGGAUUGUAGGCUGCAACUCGCCUACAUGAAGUCGGAAUCGCUAGUAAUCGCGGAUCAGCACGCCGCGGUGAAUACGUUCCCGGGCCUUGUACACACCGCCCGUCACACCACGAGAGUUUGUAACCACCCGAAGUCGGUGAGGUAACCUUUUGGAGCCUGCCGCCUAAGGUGGGAUAGAUGAUUGGGGUGAAG